AGGAAGGUAUCCCCUGUGCUGGUCACUCCUAUCCCAGGCUUCACAGAAACGUCCUUGAUGACAGGGGAGGUUCUAAGGAGCCCUCUCUGGGGGAAACAGUGAGUCUUCCAUGAUUGUAAAGGGACCAUGAGGCGCACAUCUCACUACUCCACUUAUAAAACCAGACCCUUCAUGUCUCCUGCCACAGCUGGCUGUGAAGACCAAGUUACAUUAUUAAAUGCUUCUCACGAACCCUUCCUCUCUG